rnacentral:rRNA from 1 species
GACUAAGCCAUGCGAGUCAUGGGGGUGUCCCUUCUGGGACACCACCGGCGGACGGCUCAGUAACACGUCGGUAACCUACCCUCGGGAGGGGGAUAACCCCGGGAAACUGGGGCUAAUCCCCCAUAGGUGUGGGGUACUGGAAGGUCCCCACACCGAAAGGGGCCUCGUGCCCGCCCGAGGAUGGGCCGGCGGCCGAUUAGGUAGUUGGUGGGGUAACGGCCCACCAAGCCGAAGAUCGGUACGGGCCAUGAGAGUGGGAGCCCGGAGAUGGACACUGAGACACGGGUCCAGGCCCUACGGGGCGCAGCAGGCGCGAAACCUCCGCAAUGCGGGAAACCGCGACGGGGGGACCCCCAGUGCCGUGGCAACGCCACGGCUUUUCCGGAGUGUAAAAAGCUCCGGGAAUAAGGGCUGGGCAAGGCCGGUGGCAGCCGCCGCGGUAAUACCGGCGGCCCGAGUGGUGGCCGCUAUUAUUGGGCCUAAAGCGUCCGUAGCCGGGCCCGUAAGUCCCUGGCGAAAUCCCACGGCUCAACCGUGGGGCUUGCUGGGGAUACUGCGGGCCUUGGGACCGGGAGAGGCGGGGGGUACCCCUGGGGUAGGGGUGAAAUCCUAUAAUCCCAGGGGGACCGCCAGUGGCGAAGGCGCCCCGCUGGAACGGGUCCGACGGUGAGGGACGAAGGCCAGGGGAGCGAACCGGAUUAGAUACCCGGGUAGUCCUGGCUGUAAAGGAUGCGGGCUAGGUGUCGGGCGAGCUCCGAGCUCGCCCGGUGCCGUAGGGAAGCCGUUAAGCCCGCCGCCUGGGGAGUACGGCCGCAAGGCUGAAACUUAAAGGAAUUGGCGGGGGAGAUAC